UCGGGAAUUUUGGGCAAUGGGCGCAAGCCUGACCCAGCAACGCCGCGUGAAGGAUGAAGUAUUUCGGUAUGUAAACUUCACAAGAAUGGGAAGAAUAAGAGUUGGCUAACAUCCAACCUGAUGACGGUACCAUUUGUAAGCUCCGGCUAACUCCGUGCCAGCAGCCGCGGUAAUACGGGGGGAGCAAGCGUUGUUCGGAUUUACUGGGCGUAAAGGGCGCGUAGGCGGCACGACAAGUCGCUUGUGAAAUCUCCGGGCUUAACUCGGAGCGGCCAAGCGAUACUGUCGCGCUAGAGUGCGGAAGGGGCAACUGGAAUUCUCGGUGUAGCGGUGAAAUGCGUAGAUAUCGAGAGGAACACCUGCGGCGAAGGCGGGUUGCUGGGCCGACACUGACGCUGAUGCGCGAAAGCCAGGGGAGCGAACGG
rnacentral:rRNA from 1 species